GGGUAAUAGCUACUUGAUCCAAGGAGACACCUGACUGCUAUUUUGAGGUCAAGAAGGAAUUUUUUUUCCUAGUUUGUUCAGACUAGGUUUUUUCCUUCUUUUGGAUCAAAAGCAAAAACAUAUGUGAGGAAGGCUGAACUUGAUGGACGCAAGUAUUUUUCCAGCUAUGUAACUAUGUAAAAAAUAUUUACAGCCAUGUUGAUAUUUAAUAGAAGACCACUAUGUGCUCAUGUGUCAGGCCUAUUAAUCAUGUAGAGGGAAGUUGUUUAAUGACUCAACCUUUAAAUGAAUGUGAUCCAUGUUUGUGUGGUAUUUCAUUGUAUCUUCACCUGUAUAAUGCUUUGGGUGGGGCUCUCUGCAGUCAGUUUAUGGUAAUCCACUUGCAUUUGCUGUUUUGUGUCUUGCCCAACAACGUAUACUGUUCCUAGAGUGCAUGUCACUGUGGUUGUACAUCCCAUAUAAUUGCCUGUUCUUGUCCAUGACUCACAAAUAUAGUCUUUGUCACUUUCUAAUAUAGGCCAUGACUGCAUGAAUUUCACACUCCCAUACAUGAUCAUUUACUAUAAGUACUUUAAUUUCUUACAUCCAUUUAAGCAUUUUCUUGGCAUGAUCAGUUGGCCAUUUGAAUCUACACAUUCUGCAGGAUCUAGUGUCCUGUCUUGUCUUGUUGACAAUGUCUGAGAACAAAUUAACAUUAAGAAUAUGGCAUAUUUACAUAACUACCACCAUAAUGCUGCCAUAAUUUUACAGUUUUUCAAAGGUAUGUGUAUUCAUAUACCAAAUACCAAUUGUUUUAAAAUGAUUACUUAUAUUGUAUGGAAUGUGUAAUUUUGAAAAGUUUUUU